rnacentral:rRNA from 1 species
CUGGGUAAGUCGGGGCCUAAGGCGAGGUCGAAAGACGUAGUCGAUGGAUAACAGGUAAAGAUUCCUGUACUAUAUCAUAACAGAACUGUGGGGACGCAGACAGAGAGCAUAAGCCGGGAAUGGAAAAACCGGUACAAGCGAGGUAGGAGUGCAUCAGGCAAAUCCGGUGCACAAUCUGAAGACGUGAUGUGGGGCGUAAAGCCGGAAGUAUGUGAGCUGGCUGCCAAGAAAAGCCGCUAUUGUUUAUGAUAUACCCGUACCGUAAACCGACACAGGUGGAUGAGGAGAGAAUCCUAAGGCCGACGGGAGAAGCAUUGUUAAGGAACUCGGCAAAAUGACUCCGUAACUUCGGGAGAAGGAGUGCCAUGUAAAAGUGGCCGCAGAGAAUUGGCCCAAGCAACUGUUUAGCAAAAACACAGGUCUAUGCAAAACCGAAAGGUGAGGUAUAUGGGCUGACGCCUGCCCGGUGCUGGAAGGUUAAGGGGAGAGGUUAGCGCAAGCGAAGCUUUGAACUUAAGCCCCAGUAAACGGCGGCCGUAACUAUAACGGUCCUAAGGUAGCGAAAUUCCUUGUCGGGUAAGUUCCGACCCGCACGAAAGGCGUAAUGAUUUGGGCACUGUCUCAACAAUGCACCCGGUGAAAUUGAAAUACCAGUGAAGAUGCUGGUUACCUGCGCCAGGACGGAAAGACCCCAUGGAGCUUUACUCCAGCUUGAUACUGGGAUUCGGUAUUGCAUGUACAGGAUAGGUGGGAGACUAGGAAGUGGUGACGCCAGUUGCCAUGGAGUCAAUGUUGGGAUACCACCCUUGCAGUAUUGGGUUUCUAACCAGCAGCCGUGAUCCGGCUGGGGGACAAUGUCAGGUGGGGAGUUUGACUGGGGCGGUCGCCUCCGAAAGGGUAUCGGAGGCGCUCAAAGGUUCCCUCAGAAUGGUUGGAAACCAUUCGAAGAGUGCAAAGGCAGAAGGGAGCUUGACUGCGACACCGACGGGUGGAGCAGGUACGAAAGUAGGACUUAGUGAUCCGGUGGUAUAAAGUGGGAUUGCCAUCGCUCAACGGAUAAAAGCUACCCUGGGGAUAACAGGCUUAUCACUCCCAAGAGUUCACAUCGACGGAGUGGUUUGGCACCUCGAUGUCGGCUCAUCGCAUCCUGGGGCUGAAGUAGGUCCCAAGGGUUGGGCUGUUCGCCCAUUAAAGCGGUACGCGAGCUGGGUUCAGAACGUCGUGAGACAGUUCGGUCCCUAUCCGGCGUGGGCGUAGGAUAUUUGAGAGGAGCUGCCCUUAGUACGAGAGGACCGGGGUGGACUGGCCGCUGGUGGAUCUGUUGUAUUACCAAAUGCAUAGCAGAGUAGCCAAGCCGGGACGGGAUAAACGCUGAAGGCAUCUAAGCGUGAAGCCCCCCUCAAGAUGAGAUAUCCCAUAACGUCAAGUUAGUAAGACCCCUUGAAGACGACGAGGUAGAUAGGGCAGAGGUGGAAGUGUGGUAACACAUGGAGCUGACUGUUACUAAUAGGUCGAGGGCAUAACCAA